ACAGAAAGCCAAACACUCAUUCCCUUCGUACUUUCUUCUUCUCCACCCCCUGCAAAACUUUUAGUUCACCAUACCUCCAUCAAUCACCUCCAUCUCCGACCAACUCUGAGCACAGCUAACCUAUCAGAUACCCUAUGAAAUCAAACAACCUCCUAGCCUCUAUAUAUCUCCAUCAUAGCUUCUUCUCCACAUUAGUAACCCUAGAAGCUAGGGUUGAGAGAGAUAAGUCUAGGGUUGUCCUCAAUAGCUAAAAGAAAACAUCAAGUCUAGAAUUGCAGGGGGGGUUUGUCGGGAAAAUGCGUAUUGGUUAAUAUCAAACAACUUUGUCGUAUCGACACAAACAAACCCCUUUUGGUUACUUCACAUUUGGAUCAGUUUCAGUGAGACUUGGAUUUCGACUUACACCCACCUUGUCCUUGAGGAUCGACUCGUGCUUACCCUGUUUACAGACUCGACAUUGUAUACUUGCAGUUAGUACAAUUGUAGGCUUGUUUAUAGACCUACCAAGUUUUUGGCGCCGCUGCCGGGGACUCGGUAGCGGUGCAGCUAAAGUUUCUUCUUUACUUUACUGAUUUUUAGUAUAUUGUUUGUAUAUAUGUGUUAGAUCAUUGCAUCCUAUUGGUUAGUAUAGUUGUAGUUUUGAUUUUUCUUUCACCUGCAUAGUUAAAAUCAUCUAUCAGUGCAUUUUGCAGAUUAUCUAUCCUUAGUUUAACUUAGUUAUUUCCAUCAUCUGUGUAACUUAGUUUUGUAGUAUAAGUUGUAGUUUUUAGCUGUAACUUCCAUUUCAAUCAUAUAUUUGCAUUACUUCAAUCUUUUUGUUAAGUUAAGCAACUGGGCAUCAUUAUCUUCUACUGUAUAGUACAACUUGUUCCAUAUCACGCUUGAUGUUCUCAUCAUCUGUAGUUGUAGUUGUACUUUUAAAUUUUCUUUCACUUGCAUAAAAGUGCAUCUAGUUUCAGUUAAGGUACCUGCAUUAUAGUCCUGUAAGUUUUCCUCAGCAUAUUUGUUAGUUUUUCUUUUUGUUUCCUUUCUCAGUUCAUUGGUUAAUACAAUAUGUAGCUUAGUUAGUCCAUCUGUUCAUUUUUCAUGUUAAAUUUCUCUAUCAUCUUUUACCGUAGCUCAUCAAUCUAUUGUAGCUUUUCAGUUUGUUUUAACUCUGUAGCUUCUGUGAUAUAUAUCUAGCAUAAAUUUGUUGUAACCCUUUCAUAUCCCGUAGCACACUUUAAGUGAUCUGUGAGUAGUGUUUGUUAUUGCAAAACCAUCUGUACAUUUCCAUUAGUUGGUCAAUGUCAUCUUGUUACCGCCUGCUACUCAAUCUUAGACAUUUUCAUAACAGUUAAGUCACAUUGCUUGGUGUACUUGAACACUGAAUAUGCAAACCUGAUUUGUCACAUCACAGCUGCCUGUGCUUCCUUCCUGAACUCUCUGCACUUGAGAUGACUGAAUCAUAUGUUAGAUUUAAAUUACAGUCAGUAGCUGUCAAUUGGUUUACAUCGUAUUUCCGGGUCUGUAAAUUUCCAUACCACUUGAGUUACUUUGGUUGGUUGAGCAUAUGCCAGCAUAACUUAGAUUUUGUUAAGGAUUGUCUGUCACCUGUGUUUGGAGUCUCAGCAAGUGUGUAGCAGUUUUGUUAGUUCACUGAUACUCAAAAUCUUUAAUUACCCUGUAAAAUUCCAUUCAGCGCUAAUGCUCUCUUGUUUUUACUUCACCUAUACCAUUUCUGGGAACUAAAAUUCCUCUCUGAGUUAGCAGGUACCUGAAACUUCUGUCGUGUAAGCCAGAAAGAAAGAAAAGGAGAAGAAAAAGGAGCGGAAAAAAUCUGUGGAAGUGCCUAAACCCGGUUUAUACCGGCGAUAUCAUUCUCGACCUUUAAAAUAUUUGAUAACUUCCAUGAUUGCUUGUUAAAACUGCAGCAUCACUGUUUUGCAACGAAUCUCUGAGUUUUCGAUGAUCUGUCUUGAAUAUUGUACCUUGUUCACCUGGUAAACUAGUUACCUGAUUGAAAUUUUCUAUAAUCCUGUGAAGUUGAACAAACUCUUUGCGUAUUGAAGUUGUUAAUUCGUUGUGCAUCAAUUAAAUCUCAGUAGAACUAAAA